rnacentral:lncRNA from 1 species
UUGUCUCUGUUUUCUUUCUUUUCUUUUCUUUUCUUUUCUUUUCUUGAUGGUCUCUCCUUGGAAAGUGAUGAAUAUUGUGGCCAAAUUUGGUAUGAUUUGGCCCAGUGGUUUUGUUGUUAACUCAGUCCUAAUUACACACAUUACAUUUAUUUAUAUAUAUAUAUAUAUAUAUAUAUAUAUAUAUAUAUAUAUAUAUAUAUGAGAGUGUGUAUAUAUAUGUGUGUGUGUGUGUAUGCUAUAUAUAUGCAUGCUCUGUCUCUUUCUCCUUUGCCAAGUGGCUUUCUCAAUUGCCUCUUAAGGCUGCCUUGGAACAGUGUAAACGGAGAAGGUCAUAGUAAAUCAAAGGACAUCAUCUGCCUGUUCAAAACGCUAUUAACGGGGAAAGCAGUCUGAACAGUGCAUUACGGCCCCAAGGUCACCUGGGAAACCACCGGGCCUCACUGGUUACCCCCGUAACAGCUUGCAAACAACUUGAUUAGCUGCAAUAACCCUUGUGCCCUUGCGACUGGACUUGAUGGAAAGUCAGGUGUCUCCGUAGACUGCUAAGUUGAAACUGGCCCCUCUGUCUGCAUGUGUAUGUCUCUGUGUGUGUGUUGCUCCUUUCUUUCUCUUCAUCACACAAACAGCAUAAAAAUACCAGGGAAUUCAGAUGUAAUAUCAAGAGCCCAAUAGAGCUAGCAGGCAGGAAGACUGAGCUGUGAAGCACCAAAAUGCCAGUUCAAACAAUGUUUCUGCCCUGAAUUGUCGGAAGCCUUAGGAAAGUCCCAUUUUCUGACAUAAGAUAUUCCUAAUGAAGACUUCUGGAUUGAAAAGUGGUGCUCCUAUGCUUCCAAUGGGGAAAAUUCCAGCCUUGUUAAGGCUGGCCAUGAUUAGGUUUCAAAAAUGGAGAGUUUUCCUGUAUCUUUAAGGGCUCCGAAGAUGGGUUUCAGCAAAUAUUAUUUGCCGAAACACUUUCUUAAAGAUGCAAAAGCUAACUUAAAGGUAAAUGCAGCCAGUAACAGGAAACACUUUCUUAAAGGUGCAAAAGCGAACUUAAAGGUAAAUGCAGCCAGUAACAGGAAACACUUUCUUAAAGGUACAAG